GCCCUUUCCUCUAAAGAGCAUACGCGUGUUAGCUGCCGCGCCUGCUUCAUACCGAAAGCAAAGUUUUAUCCACAAUCGUGCCAUCAGGGCUGAAGCGGCAGAAACUAUAUGGCAUCGGCAUCGUUUCACACAUGCUGCUUGAUCUGGUCUGUGUUGUGCUGUUCGCAAGUAUACGCACUUGAAGCCGGCAAAGUGGCCUUUGUAAGGCAUGCCUGUCAGUACGGAUAUAAUUUAAUUCAAGCGCAGUAUACAUUACAAGAUGAGUGCAAACGAGCGACAUGCUAUAUAUCUGAUAGGAAGCUUACCAUUGAAGAGUGCGCGGCUACUGCCUCGGAUAAUAGCUCGUGCAGUGUGAAAAGUAACUUCAAGAAACUGCCAUUUCCUUUCUGUUGCGAAUCGCGCAAAUGUGGAGAAAAAAGGAGUGAGCAGCCCGAUUUUCU